rnacentral:lncRNA from 1 species
AACAUUUGGUAUGGAAUGGUUUUUUAAGAGGUUAUACCGACUGAAUUUUUCAUGGAGAAUCUAUGUUGCCAUCAUCAUGUAACCAACCCCUGACUCAUUUUGGAUCCACUAGCCUACAAGAUAAUUCUGCAAGAGAUGAUGAUAUAAGGGGUUUGAUCACAGAUGCUUUUGGAUUUGGUGUUCAAAAUUUAGGAGAAUCCAGUAGUACACAAGAAACAGUUGGGAU